AGCGAACGUUAGCGGCAGGCCUAACACAUGCAAGUCGCGCGAGAAAGAGGGGUUCGCCCCUCGAGUAAAGCGGCGCACGGGUGAGUAACACGUGGAUAAUCUGCCCUUCGGUGGGGGACAACAACCCGAAAGGGUUGCUAAUACCGCAUUCGUCGGCGAGCUCUGCGGAGCACGUCGGGAAAGGUGCCCUCUACUUGUAAGGUACCGCCGAAGGAGGAGUCCGCGUCCCAUCAGCUAGUUGGUAGGGUAACGGCCUACCAAGGCAAAGACGGGUAGCUGGUCUGAGAGGAUGAUCAGCCACACUGGGACUGAGACACGGCCCAGACUCCUACGGGAGGCAGCAGUGGGGAAUAUUGGACAAUGGGCGCAAGCCUGAUCCAGCCAUGCCGCGUGAGUGAUGAAGGCCCUCGGGUCGUAAAGCUCUGUGGAGAGGGAAGAAUCCGUUCAGCAUCAGAUCCUGAACGUUGACGGUACCUCUUUAGCAAGCACCGGCUAACUCCGUGC
rnacentral:rRNA from 1 species